AAGGAUCGAGAUCGCGUCCAGAGGCUUCGAGGUCUCCCAACUCGAAACCGAGAGCCAGAAACCUGAUCCCCAAACUCGACCUGUGCUCCACCGUCAGGCCGCCUCAGGCCGGCGCACGAGCACCAUCCUCUUCGUCUCGCUGUCGUCUACGUUCCUGUGGCCUCGGAUCAUACAUGCAGCGACUGUGAACGGAGAAUCGACGAUCCAAAGCUUGAAGAACCUCCGGCGAGUUUCAACGAAUUUCGGGGACUCCGCCCACCGUUUGGGGUGCAUGUGUUCUCCGACAUCGUUGGUUUUCCGGCACUUCUGUUUCUGGCUCAACUGCAUCUAUAGGCGAGGACUGACCUUGAUUGAAGUUAAAGUCUGGAAAUUUUGAGUUGGUGUGUGUCAGGUCGUACUUCAUCACUAGUUGAGCUUCGUCGAGUUUCCAGAAAACGUUGAGGAUCAAAAUAAGAAACUUUGAGUUGUGGACGUUGAGGCUUGGAUUGCCAGUCAUCACCGAGUUCUUAGGUGCUGCGAGGGAAUUGGGAUUUACCUUGUAGAUUGUCAAUCAAAUUGGAGAAUCAUCUCUCAAGAUUGGAUUGCAGCUUUUGGAAAAGCUUCUUCGGACUUGAAAUGAGUUUCUGUCAAUUUCUUCCCGUGUGUGUGUUUUUUUUUUUUUUUGAGAAUGAUUCUUGUGUGUUUUGGUUUGUAUGAAGAUGGAAAAUAAUAAAAGUUGGAGUUGUUGCUGGGUUUCGGUAGCAAAGGAAAAGGAAGAAGGAGAUGACAAAAUAAAUAUUUUUUUCAGGUGGCUUUUUUCUGUGAGCUGGGCAAAUGUCUAACCAAAUUUGUUUCCAUGGAGAGCAGGUCACCCGGUUAGCAUUUUCAACCAUCAGAUUUCAGAGUUGAUAUUCGGCGGUCCAUAUUAUGCUGACGUGCCCAGGCAUGGCAAGCUCGGAGCAUUGUAGAAUUUUCGUUGCAGUGUGGCAAGUAAAGUUAAAAAAAAAAAAAAAAAAAAAAAAAAAAAAAAGAGCCAGAAAGCGAGAUCAUUAA